GAUGAACGCUGGCGGCGUGCUUAACACAUGCAAGUCGAACGGAAAGGCUCCUGCUUGCAGGGGUACUCGAGUGGCGAACGGGUGAGUAACACGUGGGUGAUCUGCCCUGCACUUCGGGAUAAGCCUGGGAAACUGGGUCUAAUACCGGAUAGGACCACAUUUUGGAUGGUGUGGUGGAAAGUUUUUCGGUGUGGGAUGAGCUCGCGGCCUAUCAGCUUGUUGGUGGGGUAAUGGCCUACCAAGGCGUCGACGGGUAGCCGGCCUGAGAGGGUGUACGGCCACAUUGGGACUGAGAUACGGCCCAGACUCCUACGGGAGGCAGCAGUGGGGAAUAUUGCACAAUGGGCGCAAGCCUGAUGCAGCGACGCCGCGUGGGAGAUGACGGCCUUCGGGUUGUAAACUCCUUUCGCUAGGGACGAAGCGUUUUUGUGACGGUACCUGGAGAAGAAGCACCGGCUAACUACGUG
rnacentral:rRNA from 1 species